CAUUACUGAGUUUACGCUCUACAACCCUUUGUGAACAUACCUAUAACUGUUGCUUCGGCGGGUAGGGUCCCCGUGACCCUCCCGGCCUCCCGCCCCCGGGCGGGUCGGCGCCCGCCGGAGGAUAACCAAACUCUGAUUUAACGACGUUUCUUCUGAGUGGUACAAGCAAAUAAUCAAAACUUUUAACAACGGAUCUCUUGGUUCUGGCAUCGAUGAAGAACGCAGCGAAAUGCGAUAAGUAAUGUGAAUUGCAGAAUUCAGUGAAUCAUCGAAUCUUUGAACGCACAUUGCGCCCGCCAGCAUUCUGGCGGGCAUGCCUGUUCGAGCGUCAUUUCAACCCUCAAGCUCUGCUUGGUGUUGGGGCCCUACAGCUGAUGUAGGCCCUCAAAGGUAGUGGCGGACCCUCCCGGAGCCUCCUUUGCGUAGUAACUUUACGUCUCGCACUGGGAUCCGGAGGGACUCUUGCCGUAAAACCCCCCAAUUUUCCAAAGGUGACCUCGGAUCAGGUAGGAAUACCCGCUGAACUUAAGCAUAUCAA
rnacentral:rRNA from 1 species